GCGCCCAUGGCUCAAUUGGAUAGAGUGUCUGACUACGGAUCAGAAGGUUGGGGGUUCAAAUCCCUCUGGGCGCG
rnacentral:tRNA from 1 species